rnacentral:rRNA from 1 species
UACGGGGGGGGGCAAGCGUUUGUUCGGAAUUACUGGGCGUAAAGGGCUGGUAGGCGGCCAACUAAGUCGGAUGUGAAAUCCCCAGGCUUAACCUGGGAACUGCAUCCGAUACUGGUCGGCUUGAAUCCGGGAGAGGGAUGCAGAAUUCCAGGUGUAGCGGUGAAAUGCGUAGAUAUCUGGAGGAAUACCGGUGGCGAAGGCGGCAUCCUGGACCGGCAUUGACGCUGAACAGCGAAAAGCUAGGGGAGCAAACGGG